rnacentral:rRNA from 1 species
GACGAACGCUGGCGGCGUGCCUAAUACAUGCAAGUCGAACGAGUGACCCCUCGGUGGCAACACCUUGGGCGAUCUAGUGGCGAACGGGUGAGUAACACGUGAGGAACCUGCCCCGAAGACCGGGAUAACCAGAGGAAACUCUGGCUAAUACCGGAUGCCCUCACCGGACCGCAUGAUCUGGUGAGGAAAUGGAUUCCGCUUCGGGGGGGUCUCGCGGCCUAUCAGCUUGUUGGUGGGGUAACGGCCUACCAAGGCGUCGACGGGUAGCUGGUCUGAGAGGACGAUCAGCCACACUGGGACUGAUACACGGCCCAGACUCCUACGGGAGGGAGCAGUAGGGAAUCUUGCGCAAUGGGCGAAAGCCUGACGCAGCAACGCCGCGUGCGGGAUGAAGGCCUCCGGGUUGUAAACCGCUUUCAGCAGGGACGAAAAUGACGGUACCUGCAGAAGAAGCCCCGGCCAACUACGUGCCAGCCGCCGCGGUAA